GUCAGCAUGCAGAUCCAUUUUCUGCCACCGAAUACAUUAGCAUGGGAUAAUGGAAUAGGACCCUGUCCUCCUAUUUUCAGUUGGUUUUGGCAGCGCGAGGACUAGGGUAAUGAUUAAUAGGGAUAGUUGGGGGCAUUAAUAUUUAAUUGUCAGAGGUGAAAUUCUUGGAUUUAUGAAAGAUUAACUUCUGCGAAAGCAUCUGCCAAGGAUGUUUUCAUUAAUCAAGAACGAAAGUUAGGGGAUCGAAGACGAUCAGAUACCGUCGUAGUCUUAACCAUAAACGAUGCCGACCAGCGAUUAGGAGACGUUGAAUACAAAACACCACCAUCGGCGCGGUCGUCCUUGGCGUGUCUCGGCUUCACGGCCGGGGCGCGCGAGGGCGGUUUAGCCCGGUGGCACCGGUGAAUGACUCCC
rnacentral:rRNA from 1 species